rnacentral:rRNA from 1 species
ACGAACGCUGGCGGCGUGCCUAAUACAUGCAAGUAGAACGCUGAAGAGAGGAGCUUGCUCUUCUUGGAUGAGUUGCGAACGGGUGAGUAACGCGUAGGUAACCUGCCUUGUAGCGGGGGAUAACUAUUGGAAACGAUAGCUAAUACCGCAUAACAAUGGAUGACACAUGUCAUUUAUUUGAAAGGGGCAAUUGCUCCACUACAAGAUGGACCUGCGUUGUAUUAGCUAGUAGGUGAGGUAAUGGCUCACCUAGGCGACGAUACAUAGCCGACCUGAGAGGGAGAGCGGCCACACUGGGACUGAGACACGGCCCAGACUACUACGGGAGGCAGCAGUAGGGAAGCUUCGGCAAGGGGGGCAACCCUGACCGAGAAACGCCGAGUGAGUGAAGAAGGUUUUCGGAUCGUAAAGCUCUGUUGUAAGUCAAGAACGGGUGUGAGAGUGGAAAGUUCACACUGUGACGGUAGCUUACCAGAAAGGGACGGAUAACUACGUG